AAAUGUUUGCAAUUUUAAACAUUUCAUGUUUGAAUUUAUGUGCAUAUUUUAAACUUCUCAUGUUCAAAAAUCAUGUCAUGAACAUCUUAUUUACACAGAUUUGAGUUGAAAAAUAAACACUUUUUAGCAGUAGUUUUACAUGCACUUUUUAGAGUGUAUAACCCCCCUAUUAUGAAUUUUCGUACGAUAGACUAUAAACGCUUGCAAGCGUAUCGUAUGAAAUCAAUGUAUUUUUACGUGACG